rnacentral:ncRNA from 2 species
GAUCGUGGCACGGAAGAGAUCGGUCAUCACGACGACGCCGACGGAGCAACCGCCCCGGAAACUCUCAGGCAAAAGGACCGUGCGACGGGG